rnacentral:rRNA from 1 species
CGCAAUGGGCGCAAGCCUGACGGAGCAAUACCGCGUGAGGGAUGACGGCCCUUGGGUUGUAAACCUCUUUUAUCAAGGAGGAAGUUCUGACGUGUACUUGAUGAAUAAGCAUCGGCUAACUCCGUGCCAGCAGCCGCGGUAAGACGGAGGAUGCAAGUGUUAUCCGGAAUCACUGGGCGUAAAGCGUCUGUAGGUGGUUCGAAAAGUCCACUGUUAAAAAUUGAGGCUUAACUUCAAAGAUGCCGUGGAAACUUUAAAACUAGAGUAUGGUAGGGGUAGAGGGAAUUUCCAGUGGAGCGGUGAAAUGCGUAGAUAUUGGAAUUUUCGAGGAUGGCGAAGGCACUCUACUGGGCCAUUACUCCCUUUUUUACACGAAAGCUA